GUUUGAUCCUGGCUCAGGACGAACGCUGGCGGCGUGCUUAACACAUGCAAGUCGAACGGAAAGGCCCUGCUUUUGUGGGGUGCUCGAGUGGCGAACGGGUGAGUAACACGUGAGUAACCUGCCCUUGACUUUGGGAUAACUUCAGGAAACUGGGGCUAAUACCGGAUAGGAGCUCCUGCUGCAUGGUGGGGGUUGGAAAGUUUCGGCGGUUGGGGAUGGACUCGCGGCUUAUCAGCUUGUUGGUGGGGUAGUGGCUUACCAAGGCUUUGACGGGUAGCCGGCCUGAGAGGGUGACCGGCCACAUUGGGACUGAGAUACGGCCCAGACUCCUACGGGAGGCAGCAGUGGGGAAUAUUGCACAAUGGGCGGAAGCCUGAUGCAGCAACGCCGCGUGCGGGAUGACGGCCUUCGGGUUGUAAACCGCUUUCGCCUGUGACGAAGCGUGAGUGACGGUAAUGGGUAAAGAAGCACCGGCUAACUACGUGCCAGCAGCCGCGGUGAUACGUAGGGUGCGAGCGUUGUCCGGAUUUAUUGGGCGUAAAGGGCUCGUAGGUGGUUGAUCGCGUCGGAAGUGUAAUCUUGGGGCUUAACCCUGAGCGUGCUUUCGAUACGGGUUGACUUGAGGAAGGUAGGGGAGAAUGGAAUUCCUGGUGGAGCGGUGGAAUGCGCAGAUAUCAGGAGGAACACCAGUGGCGAAGGCGGUUCUCUGGGCCUUUCCUGACGCUGAGGAGCGAAAGCGUGGGGAGCGAACAGGCUUAGAUACCCUGGUAGUCCACGCUGUAAACGGUGGGUACUAGGUGUGGGGUCCAUUCCACGGGUUCCGUGCCGUAGCUAACGCUUUAAGUACCCCGCCUGGGGAGUACGGCCGCAAGGCUAAAACUCAAAGGAAUUGACGGGGCCCCGCACAAGCGGCGGAGCAUGCGGAUUAAUUCGAUGCAACGCGUAGAACCUUACCUGGGUUUGACAUGGAUCGGGAGUGCUCAGAGAUGGGUGUGCCUCUUUUGGGGUCGGUUCACAGGUGGUGCAUGGCUGUCGUCAGCUCGUGUCGUGAGAUGUUGGGUUAAGUCCCGCAACGAGCGCAACCCUUGUUCACUGUUGCCAGCACGUUAUGGUGGGGACUCAGUGGAGACCGCCGGGGUCAACUCGGAGGAAGGUGGGGAUGACGUCAAGUCAUCAUGCCCCUUAUGUCCAGGGCUUCACGCAUGCUACAAUGGCUGGUACAGAGAGUGGCGAGCCUGUGAGGGUGAGCGAAUCUCGGAAAGCCGGUCUCAGUUCGGAUUGGGGUCUGCAACUCGACCUCAUGAAGUCGGAGUCGCUAGUAAUCGCAGAUCAGCAACGCUGCGGUGAAUACGUUCCCGGGGCUUGUACACACCGCCCGUCAAGUCAUGAAAGUUGGUAACACCCGAAGCCGGUGGCCUAACCGUUGUGGGGGAGCCGUCGAAGGUGGGACUGGUGAUUAGGACUAAGUCGUAACAAGGUAG
rnacentral:rRNA from 1 species